GGUGAGGCCUUUAUUCAAACAAGUUUUGGAUAUGGACCAACAAGAUUUGCACUUCGAAAAUUGCAACAAUCUUUUUGAUCCUAAAUUGCAAAAUAAGUUUAACAAAAAUGAAAUGGAUCGAAUGAUUUAUUGCGCUGCAGCUUGUACAUAUAAACCGGUGGAGUUUCGCCCAAAAAUGAGCCAGAUAGUUGAUGUAUUAAAAGGGACUACGGUACUAGAACUGCAAAAUAUAUGGGUCAGAAAUGACAGCAUGUAUCUAGACAAAGAGUUACCUUAUCCUUCAUUCUAAGGAAACCUAUUAUGCUCCGAGGCUCAGACUCUUCACCUCUAUCCAAUAAACAUGUACCCACUAUGCUGUUGUAGUUUGUUGUCGCUGUUUUGAAAUUGCUAUUUAUGAAAUUGCUAUUCUGAAAUAGCAAUUUACAUGUUUAGUAGGCUCAACUCUUCAACUCUAUCCAAUAAAGACGUAUCCGCUAUGCUGUUGUUUUU